rnacentral:rRNA from 2 species
UACGUAGGGUGCAAGCGUUAAUCGGAAUUACUGGGCGUAAAGCGUGCGCAGGCGGUUUUGUAAGACUGUCGUGAAAUCCCCGGGCUUAACCUGGGAAUGGCGAUGGUGACUGCAAGGCUAGAGUUUGGCAGAGGGGGGUAGAAUUCCACGUGUAGCAGUGAAAUGCGUAGAGAUGUGGAGGAACACCGAUGGCGAAGGCAGCCCCCUGGGUCAAAACUGACGCUCAUGCACGAAAGCGUGGGGAGCAAACAGG